UUUCCCCUUUUUACUUUGCUAGCUGGACUUAUGUCUUCAUUGGCCAUUCAAGAUGGGCAGAGGAAAUAUUAUUUUAAGAUUCAGGCAAACUGGGUGUCUGUCUUGUAAUCUGUCAGAGGAAAUAAAU
ensembl:snoRNA